AUCUUGAGCCCAAGAACAGUGUUACUGCCAUUUAACGCCGCGAUGUUUUAGCUCCAGGAAUUUGGACCCUCCUGCGAUAAGAAUCAGUUGAAAAGUCAAUCAAAAGUCUUAUUGGCACUUCUUGCUGCUACUACAUUCAUGAUGACCACUGUGUCAAGCCUUCCAAGUAUCUGCUCUCCUGAUGUUUACACAAGGGAGACGCUACUAAGGAAGCAGAACAUGGAGAAGUUUUCUUGAUGUUUACACAAGGGAGAUGAUACUAAAGAAGCAGAUCGUGAAGAAGUUUCAAUGAAUUAGAGAGUUAUAGAUGCCAGCUGGUCCUCUACAUAUCUGUUACCUGAUAAAAAUAAGAAAAAUGCAUGUGCUGCAUUCAUUAAGGCUAAUAGCUCUCAAUUUUGCCAAUGGUAAUGGGCUGUUGGGUAUCAACCGAAUGACAAUAGUGGCCUGAGGGGUGGUAACAUGGUUGCCUCUUGCGGAAUAGCCAUUUAGAUAUUAUUUUGUUGUGUAAUCUUAAUCUCCAUCCAAAUCAUAUUUAAUUUGUAUGUUAAUCUUCUCCUGGUGGAACGCA